CUUUGUAUCGCUUUUCAAGGUAACGGAAGCGUUUCAAAAGGGAAUGCCGUGAAAAUCGGCAACAGUACCCGCUGCUGUGAUUCUUUAAAAGCCCAGACAAGGCCAUGCCAGCCACUGUAAAUAACCAUUUAUGGGAAGGCGUUUGGGGAAGAGAUCAGUCAGAAGACCUGCCGGAAAAAGCAAAUGACA
rnacentral:ncRNA from 2 species